rnacentral:rRNA from 1 species
GACGAACGCUGGCGGCGUGCUUAACACAUGCAAGUCGAACGGAAAGGCCCUGCUUUUGUGGGGUGCUCGAGUGGCGAACGGGUGAGUAACACGUGAGUAACCUGCCCUUGACUUUGGGAUAACUUCAGGAAACUGGGGCUAAUACCGGAUAGGAGCUCCUGCUGCAUGGUGGGGGUUGGAAAGUUUCGGCGGUUGGGGAUGGACUCGCGGCUGAUCAGCUUGUUGGUGGGGUAGUGGCUUACCAAGGCUUUGACGGGUAGCCGGCCUGAGAGGGUGACCGGCCACAUUGGGACUGAGCUACGGCCCAGACUCCUACGGGAGGCAGCAGUGGGGAAUAUUGCACAAUGGGCGGAAGCCUGAUGCAGCAACGCCGCGUGCGGGAUGACGGCCUUCGGGUUGUAAACCGCUUUCGCCUGUGACGAAGCGUGAGUGACGGUAAUGGGUAAAGAAGCACCGGCUAACUACGUG